AGUGAACGCUGGCGGUAGGCCUAACUCAUGCAAGUCGAACGGCAGCACAGUAAGAGCUUGCUCUUACGGGUGGCGAGUGGCGAACGGGUGAGGAAUACAUCGGAAUCUACUUUUUCGUGGGGGAUAACGUAGGGAAACUUACGCUAAUACCGCAUACGACCUACGGGUGAAAGCAGGGGAUCUUCGGACCUUGCGCGAUUGAAUGAGCCGAUGUCGGAUUAGCUAGUUGGCGGGGUAAAGGCCCACCAAGGCGACGAUCCGUAGCUGGUCUGAGAGGAUGAUCAGCCACACUGGAACUGAGACACGGUCCAGACUCCUACGGGAGGCAGCAGUGGGGAAUAUUGGACAAUGGGCGCAAGCCUGAUCCAGCCAUACCGCGUGGGUGAAGAAGGCCUUCGGGUUGUAAAGCCCUUUUGUUGGGAAAGAAAAGCAGCAGGUUAAUACCCCGCUGUUCUGACGGUACCCAAAGAAUAAGCACCGGCUAACUUCGUG
rnacentral:rRNA from 1 species